UUCUAAGGGCGGUGAAGUCAGACCGGAAGGACUGGUGGAGCGCUUAGAAGUGAGAAUGCCGGUAUGAGUAGCGAAAGAAGGGUGAGAAUCCCUUCCACCGAAUAUCUAAGGUUUCCUGAGGAAGGCUCGUCCGCUCAGGGUUAGUCGGGACCUAAGCCGAGGCCGAUAGGCGUAGGCGAUGGACAACAGGUAGAGAUUCCUGUACCAGUGCUAAUUGUUUAACCGAUGGGGUGACACAGAAGGAUAGGGAAUCGCACGAAUGGAAAUGUGCGUCCAAGCAGUGAGUGUGAGAAGUAGGCAAAUCCGCUUCUCGCGAAGCAUGAGCUGUGAUGGGGAAGGAAAUUAAGUACGGAAGUUCCUGAUUUCACGCUGUCAAGAAAAGCCUCUAGGAAGAGUAGUACUGCCCGUACCGCAAACCGACACAGGUAGAUGAGGAGAGAAUCCUAAGGUGAGCGAGAGAACUCUCGUUAAGGAACUCGGCAAAAUGACCCCGUAACUUCGGGAGAAGGGGUGCUCUAUUAGGGUGCAAGCCCGAGAGAGCCGCAGUGAAUAGGCCCAGGCGACUGUUUAGCAAAAACACAGGUCUCUGCAAAACCGUAAGGUGACGUAUAGGGGCUGACGCCUGCCCGGUGCUGGAAGGUUAAGAGGAGUGCU
rnacentral:rRNA from 1 species